rnacentral:rRNA from 1 species
CAGCCGCCGCGGUAAUACGUAGGGUGCAAGCGUUAAUCGGAAUUACUGGGCGUAAAGCGUGCGCAGGCGGUUUGUUAAGACAGAUGUGAGAUCCCCGGGCUUAACCUGGGAACUGCAUUUGUGACUGGCAAGCUAGAGUCUGGCAGAGGGGGGUGGAAUUCCGCGUGUAGCAGUGAAAUGCGUAGAGAUCUGGAGGAAUACCGGUGGCCAAGGCGGCCCCCUGGACAAAGACUGACGCUCAGGUGCGAAAGCGUGGGGAGCAAACAGGAUUAGAUACCCCGGUAGUCCCUGUCUCUUAUAC